UCACAAAGGUUUGAGAGACAAUAAAAGUUAGGACAGGGUUGAACAAUGAGGUUUAUCUUUUACAGGAGGCCGUUCUACCCCUUCAAGACUGGGAGUGGUGACUGUUGCAUCUAAUGCAUAGAAACCAACACAGAGAAUCAAACAAAAUGAAGAAACAGAGGAAUAUACUUCAAACAAAAGAACAAGAUAAAACCUCAGAAAAAACCUUAAUGAGAAAGGAAGAAACGUGUGCAUGAGGACACAGCUACUUAUUGAACUUGUCUACCUGCUGUUAAGAAUUGGACAAGAUUUACUGAUCUGGCUGCCUACUGGUGUGGUGUCUUUAAGUGAUGAAUAUAAAUCUUUAAUCACCCUGCUUAGAAUGACUUCACUUCCUCCUAAGUAUUUCAUCCAUGAACAGAAAGAAAAGGCAAUUGAGAACAUAUUAUUUAUGUUUGCAAUACCAGCUUUUUUUAUGUUUAAAUGUAUUUUCAAUUGUUUUGGAGAACACUAUAUUUUUGUUCCUAUUGACUGUAACCAGGACUUUCUAGAUAAACAACCUUGAAGAAGAAAGAAGUCUACUCUGCAAAGGCAGGUGUGUAUGCAAAAAGGGAUGUUACAAUACAAUUAGGAGGUGAAAAGUUUGAGACUAGGCAUCUGACCAAUCCAUAUUCUCUCUCAACCUCUGAUAAAUGAACAUAACUAAAGUCAAUGUUGUUGUUUUUUGACCUAACUUCACUGUUCAUGUUUGUUAUUAUGGCAAAAGAGUCAUAAAAAGUUUACUAUUGCUGAGAUUUCUAUGCCAUAACUAACAAGCAGAACCUUCUAAAUGUUAGCUUUUCAAAAUAUACCUAAUUUUCCCACGCUAAACAUUUUACUGUCCCCUUUCUCUGUCUUCACUCUUUCCUUCCACAGCUACAUUAACUAUUUUUCUCUAUUAUUGACAUUUUUGAGGAGGGUACACAAAAUUUAUUGUAAAAACUUAAUUUGUGAUUGAACAUGUAUCACCUUUUGUCCAAUUGUGAAGUAUGUAUUACUGAGUUUUAGAGUUAAUUUUUCAAGAUUUUAACCUUACUAAGAAAAAAAAAAUCACUGUCAAAAUCCUUUUUAAUAGUAGAGUCAUACUAGGUACUAGAAGUGUUGUGGUGCAUCAGAAAUACAGAGGCACAUGAACUUUGGAAUAGCAGUUUAGAUAUCAAGUUCUAUUCGUCCCAUUUGCUGGUUUUAUGUUUAUAAAGUCAAUGAUGAAUUCUCCCAGAAUGUCACCUGUAAAAACAGAUGCCAAGAUGUUUAAAAACUGUCAAGGAUAGUUGUUAAUAAUUGAAAGAAAUAAUGAGUUAAAG
rnacentral:lncRNA from 9 species